rnacentral:rRNA from 1 species
AGUGAACGCUGGCGGUAGGCCUAACACAUGCAAGUCGAACGGCAGCACAGUAAGAGCUUGCUCUUACGGGUGGCGAGUGGCGUACGGGUGAGGAAUACAUCGGAAUCUACUUUUUCGUGGGGGAUAACGUAGGUAAACUUACGCUAAUACCGCAUACGACCUACGGUUGAAAGCAGGGGAUCUUCGGACCUUGCGCGAUUGAAUGAGCCGAUGUCGGAUUAGCUAGUUGGCGGGGUAAAGGCCCACCAAGGCGACGAUCCGUAGCUGGUCUGAGAGGAUGGUCAGCCACACUGGAACUGAGACACGGUCCAGACGACUAAGGGAGGGAGCAGUGGGGAAUAUUGGACAAUGGGCGCAAGCCUGAUCCAGCCAUACCGAGUGGGUGAAGGAGGCCUUCGGGUUGUAAAGCCCUUUUGUUGGGAAAGAAAAGCAGCAGGUUAAUACCCAGCUGUUCUGACGGUACCCAAAGAAGAAGCACCGGCUAACUUCGUG